GACGAACGCUGGCGGCGUGCUUAACACAUGCAAGUCGAACGAUGAAGCCGGAGCUUGCUCCGGUGGAUUAGUGGCGAACGGGUGAGUAACACGUUAGCAAUCUGCCCUUGACUCUGGGAUAACUGCGGGAAACUGUAGCUAAUACCGGAUACGACACCUUGGGGCAUCCCAGGGUGUGGAAAGAAUUUCGGUCAAGGAUGAGCUCGCGGCCUAUCAGCUAGUUGGGGAGGUAAUGGCUCACCAAGGCGACGACGGGUAGCCGGCCUGAGAGGGUGACCGGCCACACUGGAACUGAGACACGGUCCAGACUCCUACGGGAGGCAGCAGUGGGGAAUAUUGCACAAUGGGCGAAAGCCUGAUACAGCAACGCCGCGUGAGGGAUGAAGGCCUUCGGGUUGUAAACCUCUUUUAGCAGGGAAGAAGCGAAAGUGACGGUACCUGCAGAAAAAGCACCGGCUAACUACGUGCCAGCAGCCGCGGUAA
rnacentral:rRNA from 1 species